UGGGGAAUAUUGCACAAUGGGCGGAAGCCUGAUGCAGCGACGCCGCGUGAGGGAUGACGGCCUUCGGGUUGUAAACCUCUUUCAGCAGGGACGAAGCGUAAGUGACGGUACCUGCAGAAGAAGCACCGGCUAACUACGUGCCAGCAGCCGCGGUAAUACGUAGGGUGCGAGCGUUGUCCGGAAUUACUGGGCGUAAAGAGCUCGUAGGCGGUUUGUCACGUCGUCUGUGAAAUCCUAGGGCUUAACCCUGGACGUGCAGGCGAUACGGGCUGACUUGAGUACUACAGGGGAGACUGGAAUUUCUGGUGUAGCGGUGGAAUGCACAGAUAUCAGGAAGAACACCGAUGGCGAAGGCAGGUCUCUGGGUAGUAACUGACGCUGAGGAGCGAAAGCAUGGGUAGCGAACA
rnacentral:rRNA from 1 species